rnacentral:rRNA from 1 species
GACGAACGCUGGCGGCGUGCUUAACACAUGCAAGUCGAGCGGUAAGGCUCCUUCGGGAGUACACGAGCGGCGAACGGGUGAGUAACACGUGAGUAAUCUGCCCUUCACUUCGGGAUAACCACCGGAAACGGUGGCUAAUACCGAAUACGACCAGUCUUCGCAUGAGGUGCUGGUGGAAAGUCUUUUCGGUGAAGGAUGUGCUCGCGGCCUAUCAGCUUGUUGGUGGGGUAAUGGCCUACCAAGGCUUCGACGGGUAGCCGGCCUGAGAGGGUGACCGGCCACACUGGGACUGAGACAAGGGCCAGACUCCUACGGGAGGGAGGAGUGGGGAAUAGUGGACAAUGGGCGAAAGCCUGAUCCAGCAACGCCGCGUGAGGGAUGACGGCCUUCGGUUGUAAACCUCUUUCAGUACCGACGAAGCGCCCUGUCGGGUGGUGACGGUAGGUACAGAAGAAGGACCGGCCAACUACGUG